rnacentral:lncRNA from 1 species
GCCUCCAUCCGACCGCCAUACUCCAUCAACUAUUGUCCCUCUCCCUCUUUUCCCAUCGCUUAAAACUACCAAAAUUAUACCACCACAAGCCCAAUCAUUGCCGCCAUCCCUCUCACAUCCCUGACGCCGAACCAGCCACCAAAACCCACUGGCGUUGUCCCUUUUUCUCCUUUUCAUCCUCGAUCUACACCCAUACUUACUGAAAAACACACACACACUAAAUGUAUACUCGUCGACCAGCCACCAUCAAAAUACCCUUCUCUCUCUUUC